rnacentral:tRNA from 1 species
CUGCCUGUGGCCUAGUGGGCAAGGUUACAGUCUUGGGAACACGGGUCGUAGGUUCAAGCCCAGCUAGGAACA